rnacentral:lncRNA from 1 species
UAAGCUCCAUGGCCGAACCUCUUGGAGACAAAAAGAGAGAAAAGCUUCCAAUUUCUUCCUUCUAUUUCUUGCCCAAUCUCACAAACCAACCAUUAAAACCGUGAUUUGCUCCAUAAAAACCUUUCUCUUGGUGGUAUUAAGGUGUGUGGUGAAGUGGUUUGAGAAGCAAAUGUGCUAAGUUGGGUCUUUCCUUGGGUUUGCAUGGUAAGUGACUAAGGAAGCUUUCCUUUGAUCUUGAUAAUGUUCAAUUAGU